UGCAAACGUUGCUCGGAAUCAUUGGGCGUAAAGCGCACGUAGGCGGUCCAGCAAGUCGGGUGUGAAAGCCCUCGGCUUAACCGAGGAAGUGCAUUCGAAACUACUGGACUUGAAUACUGAAGAGGAUCGCGGAAUUCCCGGUGUAGAGGUGAAAUUCGUAGAUAUCGGGAGGAACACCAGUGGCGAAGGCGGCGAUCUGGGCAGAUAUUGACGCUGAUGUGCGAAAGCGUGGGGAGCAAACAGG
rnacentral:rRNA from 1 species